UUUCCGUAGGUGAACCUGCGGAAGGAUCAUUAUUGAAACUUCAUACGGGGCGCCGCGGCCCUCAGCACCGGUGGAAACGCCGUGCUGCGGGGACCGCGCGUGCACUCGUCCAAACCAAACCCCUGUGAACCUUACGGGAUGGCCCGGGUUAGCGCCCGGUGCCGUUCCGCUUUAUACAAACACUUAUCAAAGAAUGAACUGAAGGCGGUCUGACCGCUGGAUAACAAACUGAAACAACUUUCAACAACGGAUCUCUUGGCUCUC
rnacentral:misc_RNA from 1 species